GGCUGCACGGGCUCUCCUCUCUCCCUCGCCUCCUGAUCCCAGCCACCAGGAGGCCCGCGGCCCGCGCGGCGCUCGAUCCGGUGACCGCCGGCCGCCGGACGACGCCGGUAAUGGCAGCACCCUGCACCACCGUUCCACCUUAGCUCCCCCUCUGCCCCGCGUCCGCAUGCCCGAGCUCCUCCUCUCUCCCGCGCGCCCAAGCUCCUUGUUGUGCGCCGCCCAGGAGGGCUUGCGCUCGCCGCUCGACCAGAGCCACCGCGAGCUGGGCGUCGUUGCACUUGUCGGCGACCUGGCCGUCCCCUCUGCACCGCCCUCCACCUCAAAUUUGGACGAGCAUGUGUUUGUGUAUGUUCUCAGUUAUUUUUUGCACACAAGGUGUUUGUGUGUUUGUCCGAGCCAGUUUCAGUCACAGAUCCUUAAGGUAAACUCUCACAUGAAUACAUCAUGAGACUAAAUCUCCUUCCAUAUGAUUCAAAGCAUGUUAUGAUGGUGGGAGUGAACCAGGUUACUAGAAUAAUGGUUUGCUAAUUAAUUUACAUCAUGUGGAGUCUCAAGACACAUGGGUACGCCGACUCCUAUUGCUUGACAAAUGUAUAUCUGCAGAUUUUCUUUAAUUGUAUGAAGAAGUUACAGUUAGGUGUUGACCUUUUUUUUUGCCUAGACACAUCACCUCCAUGCACCUUUUUUCCGUUUAUCUUUGUUGCGCCUUUUUAGUUUUAAUUGUUGUUUACCUUCAUCCGACCAAAUUGAGCUAUCGGAGGUGCUGCGAUCUUUUGGCAAACAUGCUCUAUAUUCUAUGGUUUGGCAUCUACAGGAUGCCAUCUCAGGUCAUGGAUCCACUGUGGCCGCUUCGUCCUUCACUGAGGACCUUCUCAUCCCCACAGAGAUCAGAGGUUAUGACUAUGUCAUAGGUGACGUGUGGAAAGAUGACCAACAAGGAGAAGAUUGCAUGAAGAAUUCUUGCUAUCAACUAGGGCUGGAUGCCCCCAGGAAGAAUACUGAAAGGAGAGCAGAGUUCAGGGCAUGUUCAGCUCCAUCCAUGCAUCAAGGGAAAUAUAUACGAGGCAAAGGAAUUACGUGUUCUGCUAGAUGACAUAGUACAAGGUUCAGCAGCGACGACAUGAUCUCAAACAUGGCACUGAGUACAAGGCAAAGUUAUGUGGUGGGUCGGAUGGAGAGCUUGGCGCGGCGAUGUGGCAGGCUUCUCUACAGUGGCACUAAUGGAGAGCUCGGUCAACGAUGACGGGGCGACCGACUGAUCUGCGGCAGCGUGGAAGGAGGGCUCGGCGGUCGACACGGUGGCUUGAUCCGCUGUUCUGCGACGUUUCGAAGAACUUCUUGUACUGGUGUGUGUGUGUAUGCAUAGGUGCUGUACUAUCCUGGGCGCUCACUCCCCCAGGAUCCCACAAGUUUGCAUAGAGCUCGGACGUCGGUGGCGGCCUGGCACGCUAAUCUGCCGCCUCCACAUGAGGAGUCGUGAGAUUAGUGCAUCACAUUCAAAAGUCACCGCUCCGUGAUUAGGGCAUUGCAUUCAGGCAUUCAGUAGAUUAGAAGACAUAUUUAGCUAGCACUGGGAUCCAUCGCCAUUGUAGGGCCUUGAAUCUUUUCAAUCCUUGCCAGGACAGUUCUUGCCAUGGACGACGGGUCUCUCUGUGUGGUCUUGGUCCAAAAGCUAAAAUAGGGAAUAAGAUGUGCCUUGCCGUGUGGAGUGUUGGGUAUCUUUUGCACUUGCUCCAUCAGCUGCAGAAACUAUAGCCCAAAUGCAGCAUACUGCUACUAUUUCAUAUCAUUGAUUGAUGAUUUGUUUUUUCAUAAUUGAAUUGGCGAAUGAUGAAAAGGUGUAAUGUUCAGGGAUUUUUGCUAGAUGAUUUGUUGAUCCAGUUUAAUUUUAGUAGGCAUCUGGGUACUUU